rnacentral:rRNA from 1 species
UUGCAUUUAUUUGCCGGGCGCGUGUAUCUCCCGUCUUUUACUGUGAGCAAACUAGAGUGUUCAAAGCAGGCUUACGCCGUUGAAUACAUUAGCAUGGAAUAAUAAGAUAUGACCUUGGUCAAUUUUGUUGGUUUAUACUCCAAGGUAAUGAUUAAUAGGGACAGUUGGGGGUAUUCGUAUUCAAUUGUCAGAGGUGAAAUUCUUGGAUUUAUGGAAGACGAACUACUGCGAAAGCUUUUACCAAGGAUGUUUUCAUUAAUCAAGAACGAAAGUUAGGGGAUCGAAGAUGAUUAGAUACCAUCGUAGUCUUAACCAUAAACUAUGCCGACUAGGGGAUUGGUGGGGCCGUACUUUUGUACGCCAUCAGCACCUUUAUGAGAAAUCAAAAGUCUUUUGGGUUCUGGGGGGGAGUACGGGUCGCAAAGGCUGAAAACUUAAAAGGAAUUGACGGAAAGGGCACCCACCAGGGCGUGGGAGCUUGCGGCUCAAUUUGACUCAAACACGGGGAAACUUACCAGGUCCAGACAUAGUGAGGAUUGACAGAUUGAUAGCUCUUUCUUGAUUCUAUGGGUGGUGGUGCAUGGCCGUUCUUAGUUGGUGGAGUGAUUUGUCUGAUUAAUUUCGAUAACGAACGAGACCUCCGCCUGCUAAAUAGGAGCCGUUGUCAAUUGACAGCGGACUCCUUCUUAGAGGGACAAUGCACGGUGAGUGCAUGGGAAGUUGGAGGCAAUAACAGGUCUGUGAUGCCCUUAGAUGUUCUGGGCCCGCACGCGCGCUACACUGGCUGAGUCAACGAGUCUUAUCCUGGUUUUCGACAGAGCUGGGUAAUCUU